rnacentral:lncRNA from 1 species
UUUUUCUGUUUCCUAAAGAGUUGUAGUUUGUUAGGAAAGUUAGAGAUAGUGUUGUAUUUCGGACUCCUUAUUCAAGGUGGACGAAAAUAUCUCUCCCUCCUCCUUUAUAUACCCCAUGAGCCCCCCUAAGGAGCCUUGGGUUUUGAUUAGAUAAUGUUUAGCCAUCUUUGCUACUUUCGUGUAAUCGCGUGUGUCGGUUAGACCACCUGUUUUACCGUCGUCAAGACUCCAACUUAUCGUCUCGUUGAGACAUUGGUUUGAUAUAGUAUACUCGCAAUUUUAGAUUGCAUCCGCUAUUUAUCUUGUUCUUGCUUGUUCUUCGAUUGCUUGCAGGAACAAAGACCUUCGUGGUCAGGUUGAUCGUGCCCCCGCGUGAUCAAUAACCCUCUGGAGUUGGUGUAUCGAUUGCUAAGGCGCUGCCUCCUAGGCCGUAGUCGGAUCGUCAACGUCACCUCCUACACCGAGUCCCUCUUGGAGUCCUACACCGAGUCCCUCAUCCAGUCCUACACCGAGUCCCUUUUCGAGUUCUACAUCGAGUCGGCAAGUAAUAGUUUUCAGCCGCGAGUUCGAGUCCGAGUCCAAUAAGGAGUGGUUUUGGAAAGUGUUUCAUCAUAGAUCGAAUUUUGUUUAGAGAUCAAGUUGUUUGGAAAGUUGAAAAAAAAAAGAAAGGAAAGAAAAAAAAGGAAAGAAAGAAAGAAAAAAAAAGGAAAGAAAAAAAGAGAAAGAGUUCGAGUCAGUUUCGGACCCGAGUCCGAGUAGAAUUUUAGUUUCGGGUGGGUUUGACCCGUGUUCAGUAAAACGGGCGUAUCUUUUGCGUACCAACUCGGAUUUGGACGUUCUUGGACUUUUUGGAAAGCUCACGACGAGGCGCAUCAGGAAAUAUCCAGGGCUUAGCCCUGUACUUUGACCCUCAAAUUCAGUUUGUAAGGUGGACUUUUGGAGCUUCCAAGUUUCUGCAUCCGUUUUCCGGCAUCGCUGCAGCCCGGUGUUUGUCAGUUUUCUCCACCGUCCGACAUCCGUUUUGAGUGAUCUUGCCCUUGCUGGAAAGCUUGUGUCAAUACCCUUCUAACCUAUAUUUUUCCAUAUUUUUCUGAAUUUUUCUUACUGCAGCCUUUGCUGUUCUUCGACAGACCGACGUACAGUUUUCCGGUCCUUCUUUUGCGUGAGUUUCUGGGGUUAAAAAAGAAAAAAAGAAGAAAAGAAUAAGAAGCCAAACAGAAGGCCACAUAAAGAAAAAAAAUCUCAGGGAUUUACUUGUUGUGCCAUCUUUCUAUCCUACCUCUUCAGUAUCUAGGCUUAGAUUAUUUCUGUAAUUCGUUCUUAUCGACUCCAGCAGCUAGGACUAGCAUUAUUGAGCAUAUUUUCUACUUUGCAUUGCUGAUUUGAUUAUUUGCUAUUCCUUGCUACUCACAAAAGCCUCCAAGCUCCACAGAUUCUACACCUAGGUUGGUUUGUUACCGAGGCAUCGAUACAUUUAAUAUUCGGAGGGCUUGGUCACGCCGCUGGCCAUCACCUUCCUGUUUUGCAUGGUAAGAACUUGUAAGAACUUGAUUUUUAGCUUGAGAGUUGAGCGACUUGUAGCCACAUCCUAGUAGUUGAUAGGAACAUAUUACUGUGAUUUGUUUCUUGUUUUCUACUAACCAUGAAAAGACUUACACGAAGCAUGGCAACUAGACCGAUGCUAUCCCGUGACCGCGAUGAGUGCUUUUCACCACGACCAUCCUCCACGUCUCUUGUUAAUAAUGCCACGGCAACGGUACAAAACAAUCCUUCUAAUACAAUUAAAUUGUGUGUACCUUUCUUUGAGGGGGAAAAUGAUGCUGAAACGUAUAUAGAUUGGGAGCUAGCUUUAACUGAACAAUUCACAUGCUUCCAUGUACUAGAUAGUCGUAAGGUCC